CAUGCGGCCGAGGAGCACGUCUCGGGCGGGCUGGCCGCGCCGAGGAGGUGGUCUCGGGGACAUGCGGCCGAGGAGCACGUCUCGGGCGGGCUGGCCGCGCCGAGGAUGUGGUCUCGGGCGCAUGCGGCCGAGGAGCACGUCUCGGGCGGGCUGGCCGCGCCGUGGAAGUGGUCUCGGGGACACGCGGGAAGAUCGUCGUUCUUAUCAGACGUCGAGGGGUCGCAGUGGCCGUUCUCCGUGCUGUUCCCCGCAGCGACCUUGGGUCCGCAUUUAUGAUGGGGUGUUCGUUGGCCUUCCCUGGUGCGACGAGCGAGUGUGCGGAUGAGCUGUUGGCCGCUAUGGGGAGACGAAGGGACGUCUCUCCUGGCGGGGCUUUUCCUAUAUAAACGACGCACUCGGCCCGUUUCACGAUUCUGGUCGCUGAGUCUUGGACCUCGUCGCCCUUUCUGUCAUCACAUCCUCUCCUUUCCUACGCCGUCACUCCCCAGUUGCUCUUGUUCGUCCUAAAGCCGGUAAGGAUGCCCCUCUCGCCUGUCUCUUCACCUCCGUCCCCUGAUAGAGUCCGGGAGCGCACGCCUCCGCCCUCCCCGGACGAGGAGGCGGCGCGAGCCCUUGAGGCUCUAAUGUGGCCGCACGACCUCGACUCGGCGGUGAGCGGGUCGUUGCUGGAGAAGCUCCGGGAGCGUUAUCACAUCCCGGAGGAGUUUGUUCUGGUCGCACCUGACCCGGGGCAGCGGUCGUACGACCCGGUGCCUCGAGGUUUCGCGCUGACCCAAGAUGCCCUAGAGGCUGGGUUGCGCCUUCCCCUUCACCCCAUCAUCGUCUCCUGCCUAUCUCUAUGGCGGAUUUCGCCUUCCCAGGUGGCGCCUAACUCAUGGCGGUACCUGGUAGCGUUCUUGGGGGAAUGUUACUAUGCUAACAUCACCCCUACCCGAAACCUCUUUCUCUCUUGUUUUCGCCUUCUCAAGGGGCCGGGGGGCUAUUUCGUGUCAGCCCGGGCUGGCUUUCGCGUCGGGGGAGCCCCUUCGAAUAACAAAGGGUGGAAAGGGCGGUUUUUUUACGUUAGCUGGCCGAGGGAUUGGGGCUUCGGAGUUCGGUGGGCGGUGAGGGUGAUAGAUAACACAGUCCCGGACUUGAACGACGAGGAGCGUCGGGACUUGCUUCGGGCAAUCCUUCCCGGUUCUCAGGCCAUUCGAGCUAUGACCGAGGAGUGGCUAGCCGAGGCGGGUCUUAGCCCGGCUUUCGGGGGUAUGUUUGUAGAGGGUGUUCUCUAUGCCUUGUUUGUUUCCACAGUUUGUGAUGGUUUGCUUGUCUCCUUUGUAGGAAUGAAGCUCCUGUCCCUCCGUGGUGGUCGCUCCUCGUCGGCUUCUUCCCCGCGCCAGUCCGCUGCUUCCUCUCCGCGUUCCUCAGCCGACCCGUUGCCCGGUUCGGCGGGUGCCCCAUUAGAGAUCCCAGAGGGACGUCCGUCAAAGAAGGCAAAGACGACGGGUCCCGGGAAAGCCAAGGCGGGGACCACUCCUUCAACAAUUGUGGGCGCCAAGCGGACCACUCGGGACGAGGGGCCUUCCCGAGUUGAAGGGCCUAGCCAGGGGACGGCCGGGAAGGGGUCGAGCCUGCCCACGGUGGAUGAUCUGUGCGGGCUACGCACGGGGGCCGACGAGCCCCUAUGGUCAGCGGUGAUGGGCGAGCUUCCGCCGGGGGAGGCUUCCGACCCGCUGGUUGCCCGAUGGAAGGGGCUGUCCCGAGGGGACAAGGUAUGGGCCGGGGGAGAUCCCUCGGCUGCCUUUCUUCGAGGCGUGCUCCACCCCGACCUGGCUCGGGACCUAUACACCCUGCCUUCGGAGACCAUGCUUAACAAGGCGGGGAGGUUUCUAACACUGGGCCUCCACUAUUCGACGGCGCUAAUGGACCGAGUGCGCGACGCUGGCCAGGCAAUCUGGGACCUCAGCGAGCGCAACUCCGAGUUGUGCCGCCAGCUAGAGGAGGUUCGGGCUGGGUCGGGCCCCGAGGCGGUAGCGGCCGCGGAAAAACGCGCGACCGAUUCCGAGGAAGAGGUGGCGCGCCUAAGAGCAGAGCUCGAGCAGUCGGGCGAUUCAGUCAAGGAGCUCCAGGAGUUCCUCCGUUUGGAUCGGGCCGAGCUCCGCCUGUUGAAGUCGGAGGCGCUUGGUCUCACCAAGAGGGCGGAGAAGGCCGAGGCCGAAGCCCGCGCUGCCUCUGAUGCGCUGGCCGAGGAGGUUCGCCUCCGUCCGUCGAAGGACAAGGAGGCGAUUGAAGCCUACAAGAGGUCCGAGAACUUCGAGCUCGGGCUGACCCGAAUGGGACGAGUAUCCUACGAGUAUGGAUACAGAAUCGCCUUGGGUCGCUUCUGCUCAUGUCCUCCUGGUUCCGAGGUGGAAAAGGACCCGUUCGCCUCUCACCCCGUGGAUCUGGAGGUGGACAUGCCGGAGGACGUGCCAUUCGACGAUCGCCCGAAGACUCCAGGAGAGUAGUGAGGGUCGUUUUUGUAUGUCGGGGUCGAGGGUGCGAGGGGUUUCUGUAUGGGUUUUGGCUUCUGUAUCCCCUCCUUUUUAAUAAAAUGAUCUUCUUUUUCGUUUUGUGUGUUUGCGUAGUGCCUACAUCUUCAGACGAAGUAUUUCCUAAGGUUCUGUAUGUUCCAAGUCCGGGGCACGGGGUCGCCAUCCAUUGUUGCGAGUCGGAACGUCCCCGGUCGGGAUACUCCGAUGACCCGAUAGGGUCCUUCCCACUUCGGGGUCAGCUUCCCCCUUGCUUGGGUUGGGCGGCUGACCUCGAUUUUGCGCAGGACCAGGUCCUCUAAUUUUAUUGAUCGGGGUCAUACUCUCCGGUUGUAGACCCUCGCUACGGCUCUUUUGUAAGAAAGAGCUUUCUAGUGUGCGUUGGCCCGUCUUUCCUCGAGUAGGUCCAGGUUGGAUCGGAGCCCUUCUCCCGAGGCCUUUUCGCUGUAGUCUGCCGUCCGCGGAGUCGGGAUGGCUACUUCGGAUGGCAAUACGGCCUCGGUCCCGAACGUGAGGCUGUAGGGAGACUCCCCGGUCGGGGUCUUGGGGGUAGUGCGCAUCGCCCAUAGGACGCUCGGGAGCUCGUCGAUCCAAGCCGAUCGGGCAGCGGAUACCCUUCUCUUGAGGCCGUCGACGAUGGACCGGUUGGUUACCUCAGCUAGCCCAUUCGCCUGGGGGUAAGCCACCGAGCUGAACCUCAGCUGAAUUUUGUGCUUGGCGCAAAACUCUUGGAAUCUCCUGUCGGCGAAUUGAGGUCCAUUGUCGGUGACGAUGGACUGGGGCAGGCCGAACCGAGUUAUGAGGUUUCUCCACACGAACCUUUCCACUUGUGACUCCGUAAUGGUCGCUAGAGGCUCGGCUUCGACCCACCUGGUAAAGUAGUCCACUCCCACGAUGAUGUACUUCCGCUGGCCGGAGGCGGGUGGGAGAGGCCCGAGUAUGUCCAGUCCCCAUUGCGCGAAUGGCCAGGCACAGUCGACAGGGGUGAACAGGACCGCCGGCCGUCGGGCGGUGCGGGCGUGCUCCUGGCACGAGCUGCACCGCCGCACGAAAGCUUUCGCGUCCUGGCGCAUGGUCGGCCAGUAGUACCCCUGUCGGAGUAUCUUGUGCGCCAGGGCUCGUUCGCCUAUGUGUUCCCCGCAGGCCCCUUCAUGCAUGUCGGACAGAAUGGUCUGAGCUUCGUUCGGCUCUAGGCAGCGUAACAAGGGGCGCGAGAAGGACCGCUUGUACAGCCGUCCUUCCUCUUCGAUGUACCAUGCCUGCGUCCGACGCAAGCGUCGAGCCGUGGUUUCAUUGUCGGGUAGGGCCCCAUCCCUCUUGAAGCGUAGCAUCUCCUGUACCCAAGUGGCCGGCGCGCCGCCCGUGACCGUGGCGACGACCUCUAUGGCUCGGUGGGGGAGCACUUCGGUCUCGGGUUGAGCCCAGGGGGCCGAGCCGGACGCCCAUUUUGCCAGGGUGUCGGCUCGCUGGUUCUCGCUCCUGGGAACAUUCGACAAUUCAAAAUGGGCAAACUUGGUGGCAAGGCUUUUUACCUGUGCCAGAUAUUUCGCCAUAGUCGGGUCCCGGGCUUCGUAUCCGCCGUCGAGCUGCCUAGCCACCAGCUGUGAGUCGGUGAUGAUGCGUAUGUCGGUCACCCGCAUUUCCAGUGCCAACUGGAGCCCCACCAGGAGAGCCUCGUAUUCUGCCUCGUUGUUGGUGGCCCUGAACCCGAAGCGGAAGGAGCGCUCGAUCGAGCGGCCGUCAAGUGUCACCAGCACCAGCCCUGCACCGGCGCCUUUUGCGUUGGCCGACCCGUCUACGUGGAGGGUCCACGUCUCACGCGGUGGCUCGAUUCCUCGCCUGUGCUCGGGGUCAGCUCUGCAAUGAAGUCUGCCAUAGCCUGGGCUUUGAUGGCAGUCCGUGGUAUAUACUGUAUGUCAUGCUCGCCGAGCUCCACUGCCCAUUUGAGGAGACGCCCUGCAACGUCGAAUUUAGACAGAACAAGCCGGAGCGGCUGGUCAGUUAUUACCUCCAUCGGGUGGGCCUGGAAAUAAGGGCGGAGCUUUCGCGCCGACAGAACGAGCGCCAGCGCCAGCUUUUCGAUUGGCGGGUAGCGUUCUUCUGGCCCGCUCAGCAUGUGGCUGACAUAGUAGACCGACAGUUGGUCGCCGGAGUUUUCUUUGACCAGAACCGAACUGACCGCGUGCUGGGAGGCGGCGAGGUAGAGACUCAAUUUCUCCCCAGGGGAGACUGAAGCGAGUCGGGGGAGGUUGGCCAGGUGUUGCUUCAUCCGCUCGAAGGCCCUCUCGCAUUCCGUCGUCCAUCGGAAGUUCUUCGGAUCCUUCAGGGCCUGGAAGAAGGGGAGGCAGCGAUCUCCCGAUCGGGAAAGAAAACGUGAUAACGCGACUAGCCUCCCGUUAAGGCGCUGCAGGUCUCUGAUCGUCCGAGGAGGCUGCAUGUCAAUGAUGGCCUGUAUCUUUUCCAGGUUGGCGUCAAUCCCUCUCUCAUGUAUGAUGAAUCCGAGGAAUUUUCCCGAGGUCACGCCGAAGGCGCACUUGGCGGGGUUGAGGCGCAGGCCGAACCUUCGCAGGGUGUCGAAUGUUUCAGCUAGGUCGGAAGGAUGGGCCUCCGUCGUUCGGCUCUUUACGAUCAUGUCGUCGACAUAUAUCUCCAUGUUUCGUCCAAUCUGGUGGGCGAAUAUCCUGUUCACCGUCCUCUGGUAGGUCGCCCCGGCAUUUUUCAACCCGAACGGCAUGACUUUGUAAAAAUAUAUCCCUUGCUUGGUGAGGAAGGCUGUGUGUUCUUGGUCUUCGGGUGCCAUCCUGAUCUGGUUGUACCCGGAGAAUGCGUCCAUAAACGAAAGACGGGCGUGGCCGGCCGUGGCGUCAACUAGCUGGUCGAUCUUCGGUAGGGGGUAGCAAUCUUUUGGGCAAGCAUUAUUGAGACUGGUGUAGUCAAUGCACAUCCGCCAGCUUCCAUUAGGCUUUUUGACAAGGACUACAUUGGAGAGCCACUGUGGGUACCUCGCCUCUUCUAUGAAACCGGCCGCCAGAAGUCGGUUUACCUCUUCUCGGAUGGCCAGUUGCCGAUCCGGGGCCUGCCGCCUGGGUCUCUAUUUUACCGGGCGGGCGUCGGAUGAGAUGUUCAAGUGGUGCAGCGCGACUUCCGGGUGGACUCCGACUAGGUCAGUCGGCGUCCAAGCGAAGAUGUCGGCGUUGGCUCGCAGAAGGCCAACGAGCUGCUGUUGCUCUUGUUCGGGCAGUCCCGACCCAACUUUGACUGUUUGGUCGGGCCUUCCUUCGAUCAGUGGCAAGUCAAUGGUGGAUUCCUUCGGCUCGGGGCGGGGGGUCGGUUUUUUUCCCUCCCGGGGGUCUUCCAGCGGGGAUUGGAUCCUCGCUCUCUUGUUUAGCGACAGCGGUCAAGUAGCAGCGCCUGGACUCCCAGGAGUUCCCCGCCACUUCCCCGACCCCAUCGUGGGUCGGGAACUUGAUGGUUUGGUAGUAAGUUGAGAUGACGGCUCGGGUCUUGUUGAGGGUUGGUCGUCCGAGGAUGGCGUUGUAUGCCGUGGGGAGGUCGACCACCAGAAAGGAGGUCAUCACUGUUUUUGCCUUCGGGAAGACUCCCAAAGUUAGGGGCAGGGUGAUGACCCCUAGUGACGAGAUUGAGGCGCCGGUGAACCCCGUGAGUGUUGAGCAUACCGGCUUCAUGUUCUCCUUUACCAGACCGAGCUUUUGGAAGGCGUCCCAGUAAAGUAUAUCGGCCGAGCUUCCAGUGUCGAUCAUGAUCCUUCUCACUUGCGCGUUGGCGAUUCUGGCUGAUAUUACCAACGCGUCAUCAUGUUCGGCUGGUUCAGGUCCCCCGGUCGGGAAGGUGACUUCGGGGCCUUUUUCAUGUUUGGUGGCUUCAACCCGGGAGGCCCUGGCGUAUGCCCUUCCGCCCGCCAUGGAACUCCCUUCGGACGCUGGUCCGCCGGUUAUGACAUCUAUGUGCCGCUCGAUGGGGCCUUCCGGGCGUGGCGAGAGCUCCUUAUCUGGUCGGAGGUAUGAGCCGAGGUGCCCUCGGCGGAUGAGCUCCUCAAUUUGCCUUUUUAAUUCUCGACACUCCUCGGUGUCGUGACCGGGCUGUCGGUGGAAACGGCAGUAUUUAGAGCGGUCCGCGAGUUCGCGCGGGCUCCUCAUCGGGUAGGGGUCUUUGAGAAGGCCUUUCUCCUUAAUGUGGAGAAAUAUUUCGGUCCGAGAGGAGUUCAGGCCCGGGGGAGGGGACCUAGGUGCCGCAUCGUUGAGGCCGCCGGCCCUACGCCGGGAGGUAGCGGGCUGUUGUUGUUGGGACUGCUCUGGCUUGACCCUCUUGCGCUCGUCGCGCCUCCCGACCAUCCAUGCCUCAGCAGCGAUGUACUGGUUCGCAUGCUGCAACAUUUCGGGAACCGAAGUGGGGGGUCGCUCCACCAGAGACCAAAAGAAUCGGGUAGGGCGCAGGCCCAUCAUGAAUGCCUGCAUCAUCAAAGAAGGGUGAGCGUCAGACAGCCCGCGGAUUUGUGUGGUGAAGCGGUUCACAAAGUGAGGGAGGGGCUCAUCCUCCCUCUGGUUGAGCCCGAGGAGCAUCGCCACCGACGGCUUCGGUUUGGCAUGAGCCAGGAAGUUAAGCUCAAAGUCCCUGGCCAAUUGGUCGAAAGAGGCGAUGGUCGCGGUCUUCAGAUUGCUGUACCACGCUCGGGCUGGGCCCCGUAGGGUUGUCGGGAACGCCCUGCACAUCAGGGCAUCGGAUGUCCCGUAUAGCGCCAUUUGGGCGCGGAAAGCAGCUACGUGGUCCGCCGGAUCGGUGGCAUCGUCAUAGGCAUCCAAUGACGGGAGCCGAAAAUGCGGCGGGAUUGCUUGCUCUUGAAUCUCGGGGGUGAAGGGGGACCCCUGGUGUCGCUCGGCCCCCGGGUCUCCCCUGGUCCGGCGAACCUCACGCUGCACCUCGUCCAGCCGGCGGCCUACGAGGCGUAGCUGGGCCCACAGGCCCUCCGCCGAGUCUGAAAGUGGGGCCACGGGCGUCGGGUGCGCCGCUGGUUCCUCCGCUCCUCGGCUCCCGGGUUGGGUCGAUUGGUCCGGAGGCGAAGCGGGAGACUCGGGGAGCGGUGCGGGGUUUUGAGCGGCGGGCCGUUGCCGUGGUGGAGGUAGGGUUGAGUGUGAAGACGUCGGGGGAGAGACCAGCGGGAUGAUGGUCUGCAUCACUCCCGUAAGAGCCCGGACCUGGUGCGUGAGGUCGUAGAAGGCUUCGGGUGGCACGGGUGACGGGCCACCGGGAUUGGCGAUGGGUGGCGAUAGACCCGGAUCGUUGAACAAUCGCCAAUAGCGCUCCGAGAUCGCAGCGGGGCGCUCGUCCCGAACCCCCUCCUGUUGGGGAUGUUCUUCCGUUGCGUCGGUCGUGUGCGACCGGACGACUGGGGGUUCGUCGGAGUGAGCCUGUUGAUCGCUUGACAUUCGGACCGGCCCUCCUUAUAGCGCCAUUAUGUUAGUGUAAACACCUUUUUUUCUUAGCCGUGACCCGGGAGGUCGUCUCGGCUCGUUCGGGGGUCCGAAUGGCGGGGAUCUCCCUGGGGCGAUGCUCGUCUCCACCGGGGUGGUCGGGUGCGGCCUCGGACUCGGGGCGAUGCAGCGACUUCCUCCGGGUGGGGACUCCUUGCCUGCGUGUCCCGAACGGGAGACCUCGGCUUGAUACCUGCACAAAGGUCGGGUCGGUUCGACCCGACCCCUCCGACGAUCAAGUUAGAGAGAUGAAGUGGCGGUUGUUCUGGGCGUCCAGUCUGCCCUCUUCCCUCUGGCUCGAGGACGUUUAUAGGGGAACUCGGCAUUAUCGGGCGCGCCAUCCCGUCGGUCGGGGCCGUAUCUCUGAUGGCGUCCGACAUCGCCGAGGAUGUUGCGUAUGGGAUCGGGGAAUCGCAGGGCAUGGGCGAGCUUCAACCGCUACCUACUUCUGUCUCGUCCUACUGUGUUGGGUUGACUGAGGGGCUGUGGGCUCAGUGAGGCUGACGUCCGGACGCAGACCGUUGCCCUCGUUGCUCUCCCUGGGGCGCCGCGCCUGUCCACGUGCGGGGGGCGUUGCCGGGAGUGGGGUUUACCAUUUUUUGCCAUAUCAACUACUACACUAAAAGGCCAACCUAUUGCUUACAUUAUCAAGAAGUGGAGACCAUACUUUCUUGAUCAAUGAGUUGUGAUGCGCCGUAGAUAUCUUGUGACUCAAGUAUUGAAAGAGAAGCUCCCAGAGUUUGAUGUUGCUUAGCCUUGAGAACAAGACUGAUUUGAAAGGGGAGGAAUUGUUCGGAUCUCUUUAUUUUCUAAGCUUUGAAUAAUAUUUUAUUGAGUUUGUCUAGUUCAAUAUGAGUCGGAUAAGGGUUUAUUUGAUAUUUAUUUAUUUAUUAAGAGUCCAAGUCCUGAUAAACUCAAGAGUGGAACUCUAUAAAUAUGGAUAUAUUUGUUUCUUUUCACCUAUCAAUGAAAUAUUAUACUACUCUUUUGACAAACCCUAGGAGGCCGAUCUCCUCAACAUGAUUAAGGAGGUCGAUUCUCUCGAAAUGAUCAUCCCUUUUCUCCCUCUUCUUUUAUGAUAAAACCUUAGGGGUCUUAUCAUAGAUGUAGUUAAAAGAUAUAAAAUAAUUAAUAUUAGUGAUAUGAGGAGAGAUAGAGCGAGUUGUGAAAAAAAUUUAUUAUAAACUAUAAAUAAAGAUUUAUAUAUUUUAAUUUAACUAAGAAUAUGAUUUUUCAUAGAGCUCCCAGGUGAUAAAACAUCCAUGUAGCUGAUCUUAUGGUCUUGUUGUUUGUUAUUGUUAUUAUUAUAUGGUUUUACAUAUGCAUCAUGAUACUCUUGCUGACUUAAUAGAAUAUUGUAAAGGUACCACUCCCUUUGUGCUUACAUGGGAGAUGAUGACAUGUUCAGCUCAGAUCUCAGUGAUGACCAGUUGAGGUUGAGACUUGGUCACAUGUCAAGUACACCGUGCCAGGUUAUUUUCUCCAUGGCUGAUGAAUAUGUGCCAGACUAUG